GGGUCGUUAGCUCAGUUGGUAGAGCAGUUGACUUUUAAUCAAUUGGUCGCAGGUUCGACUCCUGCACGACCCCCCA
rnacentral:tRNA from 1 species